rnacentral:rRNA from 1 species
UGGCUCAGGACGAACGCUGGCGGCGUGCCUAACACAUGCAAGUCGAGCGAGGAGAUUCCUUCGGGAUGAUCCUAGCGGCGGACGGGUGAGUAACACGUGGGCAACCUGCCUCAUAGAGAGGAAUAGCCUUCCGAAAGGGAGAUUAAUACCUCAUAACAUUGCAGUUUCGCAUGGAACAGCAAUUAAAGGAGUAAUCCGCUAUGAGAUGGGCCCGCGGCGCAUUAGCUAGUUGGUGAGGUAACGGCUCACCAAGGCGACGAUGCGUAGCCGACCUGAGAGGGUGAUCGGCCACAUUGGGACUGAGACACGGCCCAGACUCCUACGGGAGGCAGCAGUGGGGAAUAUUGCACAAUGGGGGAAACCCUGAUGCAAGCAACGCCGCGUGAGUGAUGACGGCCUUCGGGUUGUAAAGCUCUGUCUUCAGGGACGAUAAUGACGGUACCUGAGGAGGAAGCCACGGCUAACUACGUGCCAGCAGCCGC